rnacentral:rRNA from 1 species
CCUACGGGUGGCAGCAGUCGGGAAUCAUUCACAAUGGGGGAAACCCUGAUGGUGCGACGCCGCGUGGGGGAAUGAAGGUCUUCGGAUUGUAAACCCCUGUCAUGUGGGAGCAAAGUAAAAAGAUAGUACCACAAGAGGAAGAGACGGCUAACUCUGUGCCAGCAGCCGCGGUAAUACAGAGGUCUCAAGCGUUGUUCGGAAUCACUGGGCGUAAAGCGUGCGUAGGCUGUUUCGUAAGUCGUGUGUGAAAGGCGCGGGCUCAACCCGCGGACGGCACAUGAUACUGCGAGACUAGAGUAAGGGAGGGGGAACCGGAAUUCUCGGUGUAGCAGUGAAAUGCGUAGAUAUCGAGCGGAACACUCGUGGCGAAGGCGGGUUCCUGGACAUUAACUGACGCUGAGGCACGAAGGCCAGGGGAGCGAAAGGGAUUAGAUACCCCAGUAGUC